ACAAUGCUGCCCUUAUGGAUAACACAACAAAGCAACACUAUUCAAAUAUGCGAUAAGCAUCAACAUGCACUUGAUCAACAUCAUGUCAAAUUUUAUAGUAAGCCUUGUAGAUAGCACAAUAAGCUCACUAAGAUUUUGACAUACUCUAUCGAUCAAGUUUGAAGGAAGGCCCUUAUAGUGUCUACAUUACUAAUCAAUCUAAGUCCAAAAUUCAACAAGAUCAAAUUGGUCAGGUA
rnacentral:lncRNA from 1 species